AGGAAACGCUUGCCACCCAGAUGCUGAGCCCAUACCACAUCGAUAAAAGCUAAAAUACAAUCUGCAGCUUUAAAAAUGUAAACCAGCAGCUCACAGAGAGCCCUUCGGAGUUACCCAAUCACACCAAACUGCAGGAAGCAGCGGCCGCGCUCCUGGGAACUGGAACAACCCUGCGAACUGAAGUCACCUAAGAGAAGGGGCCAACGCCCUUACGCCCUCUACCCAUAAUCCUACUUAUCUUCAAGGAAGCCAACCUUGAAGUGACUUCAGAAGCAACGAGAUAAAUAUCUACACUGGACUGGACCCGGCCACUUCCGGGCCGGGAUGCCUCCCUACCUUGGAUUCCUUCCUGGUCUGUGAUGAGCUGGAGCCCUGCCAUCUCCAUCCUUCCUAGGUUUCCUGAUGGCACACGCGGGGCCAAACAAUCCCUUUUAUGAUGGGUAGAAGUUUUCGGUUUCCUAAGAAGCUGCAUAGACUCAGAUCUCUUCCACCUUGGCAACCCACUACCUGUCGUGCACGCCUCCUAACUUGAAGUGCACGCUGUGUCACGGGUUUCUGAGCACCUCACUUGUCUGAGCCUUGGGGUGCCGCCAGGUCCAGGAGUAAUCACAGUAAAUAGACUUUCUCUCUCCGAGUCAUUUGGGCCGAACCAAUCACGGUGACCUGGUUGGACCACGUCCAUCGCCUUGGCCGAUGCCUGGAAUUCAGCAUCUUGGAGAAUUGCCCAGUGCAGUAUAAAUGGAUUUUUGCAAACAUUUAUAAAGCAGGAACUUGAGAGAGUCAAAGCAAUUUCUGUCGAUUCUGUAAAUAUGCCCUCGUAUUCUUCCCGUACACUAAACUUCUAAGGGAGACUCAGCAAUGAGGCAGGAUGAAAUGACCAUAAAAUAUUUCUGAGUGCCUAUUUUUUCUAGAAAGUACAUUGUUUCCUCAUGUUCAUGGUUGACAUUUGUUAACCCCUUCAACACCCUCUGAAGAUCAAACCACAACCGUUCUUGAAUCUCCCAACGUGCAGCUCAACUUGCUGAACUUUUCUCAAUGACGCGACUGGUUUCGACUGACAGUGACAAAAGCGUUUGUGUAAAUAGAGCAGUAAGAGCAUAAGCUCAACGGAAAACAGAGAACUAACAGGGAGUGGAUCCCGUGGUUGCCUCCCAAGUCAAAGAAAUACAAAAACUCUC